rnacentral:lncRNA from 10 species
AUCUAGGAACUGGAGCUGCUGCCUCUGUCUGCUAAGAUGUGAAGUCCAAGACUGAAAGUAACAUAGCAGAAGGAGAACCAAAAGAUAUGUUGAGUCUUGAUGCUAUUUGUUGAACCAGUCCUGAAUCCAGCUGUGUCGGAGUCAGCGCAGCUUUUGAAGCUGGAGAGCAUCAUAUUUUAGAAAGAUCAAGCAAUGUGGAUGAGGACACAUUAAAAAGAGAAGACCGAGAGGAGGGGACACCACUCAGGCUUAUAACCUCCAGCUCACAUUUCAGCACCAAAGGACCAAAGCCUAGACCUGAGAUCUGGCACUUGCAAAAAGAAAGAUCACCUGGAAGAACAAAAUAGAAGACUCCUGCUCCCAAUAGGCUUGGGUCAGGAAGAAGGCUGUUGGCAUAAUUGUGGAGUAGGAAGAUGGAAAACAACUCCUAGAGAUCCCAACAGCUGAACGCGUGCUUGGGCAGUGGCUGCGGGUGAAGUCAUGGGAAGGCAAGUCAUGAAGGGCAUUAAUCAAGGUAAAAGCAAAAGGAAAAUGAGGUUCUUCAGGGCACAGUGUGUGGGAAGCAACAGCAUGAUGGAAUCAUUAGGAGAGAUGCCCAUGACUCCUGCGCCCAGCAGGAGUUGUUUCUGCAGGGGUCCCUGCUUCCAUCUCCUAAGUUGCAGGCAGAGAGGGCAGAAGCCAGGAUCAUCAAUACCCAAGAGGGAGCAUCGAAGAGUGCAUGCUUCCUCUACUAUGUCGUGAUAUAGAUGGAGGCCAGGAUUUGGGAGCUUUGGAACACAUCUCUCCCAGGCCUGAUUGUUAGGAGAGGACUUAGGCAAGGUGUGGGCAAUGCUGGUGCUUCACCUUUCCUUGUUGACCAGACAGACCCAGAAGGGUCAUUUGUCAAAACAAAGAAAAUCUCUUCCAGGGGUGAGGCAGGUGUGGCUGCCUGUAUGUGAAUGUGCUGCACACCUUUCCCAUCAGCAGGUGUCUGAGACCCUACUCUCCUCCUGACUUUGUUGGCCCGAGCAUCAGCCUGUGAGGUCCAGCACCCAGAGCCCAAAUCUUCUGGCUCCUAGGCUGGCACACAACCUAACAACAAUUCCUGUGCCUUCAUAUUUUCAUCUCUGCAAGGAGGAUAGUAGAAAUAGCUCUCAAGUAGGGAAUGAUGACUGCAUUUGAGAACAGGGCAAAAAUAAAAUCUGAAAAUUGAACAUCUUGUCACUAGGCAGUUGUAACACAUUUUGAAGAUUAUGAGCUAAUCAAAAUUACACAGGUAUUCUGCUCUGGAAAUGCUCAACAACCGGACAGGAUGUUUUUGAAUGCGGUAAUAAAAAUUAUCUCUAGGAGCAA